GGAGGACACUCCCGGUGUGGGUACUGGGCACGCUUGCCAAGCGUUGGACGGCUGCUUACAGCCUGAAGGGUUCGAUUCCCUUGUCCUCCU
rnacentral:tRNA from 1 species